rnacentral:rRNA from 1 species
UACGUAGGGUGCAAGCGUUUAAUCGGAAUUACUGGGCGUAAAGCGUGCGCAGGCGGCGCCGCAAGUCAGGCGUGAAAUCCCCGAGCUCAACUUGGGAAUUGCGCUUGAAACUACGGUGCUCGAGUAUGGCAGAGGGAGGUGGAAUUCCACGUGUAGCGGUGAAAUGCGUAGAGAUGUGGAGGAACACCGAUGGCGAAGGCAGCCUCCUGGGCCAAUACUGACGCUCAUGCACGAAAGCGUGGGGAGCAAACAGG